rnacentral:rRNA from 1 species
AUUCCAGCUCCAAUAGCGUAUAUUAAAGUUGUUGCAGUUAAAACGCUCGUAGUCGGAUUUCGGGGCGGGCCGACCGGUCUGCCGAUGGGUAUGCACUGGCCGGCGCGUCCUUCCACCCGGAGACCGCGCCUACUCUUAACUGAGCGGGCGCGGGAGACGGGUCUUUUACUUUGAAAAAAUCAGAGUGUUUCAAGCAGGCAGUCGCUCUUGCAUGGAUUAGCAUGGGAUAAUGAAAUAGGACUCUGGUGCUAUUUUGUUGGUUUCGAACACCGGAGUAAUGAUUAACAGGGACAGUCAGGGGCACUCGUAUUCCGCCGAGAGAGGUGAAAUUCUUGGAUUUAUGAAAGAUGAACUCAUGCGAAAGCAUUUACCAAGGAUGUUUUCAUCG